AAUUCUCAACCUUUAUCAGCUUUUUGUUGAUUAGGCUUGGAUGUGGGGGUUUUGCGGGCUUUUUCUCAAAAGUCGGCUCUCCUUAAAUCUAUUAGCGGGACCUUUUGGUUGCUCCCAGCCCUAGUGUGAUAAUUAUCUACGCUAUUGCUGGGAGUGAUGUGGUGCAGCUUCUAAUUGUCUCGAUCUUGAGACUAAUUUUAUUACUUAUGACA
rnacentral:misc_RNA from 1 species